UAAAAGUUUAAUUUUUUUUAGCUUUAAGUAAUAAUUUUUAUUUGAUCUAUAUACUAGUGUUUAAUUGUAAAUUGGUUUUUUAGUAAUAUGUAAAAUUAAUUAUGGGGGAAAUCUUGAAUUAGUAAUAUAAGAGAAGAUUAACAAAACUUGUGCCAGCAGUUGCGGUUAUUCAUGUAAUUUAAUUAUUAUUUUUUGGGUGUGAUUAAUUUGGAGUUUUUAGAAAAUUGAAUUUUUAGGUGAAAUUUAAAUUUAAUAUGGAAGUUAGGUGAGAUCAGUAAGUUAACUAAUUGACUGGGAUUAGAUACCCCAUUAAAAUAAUAUAAUUUUAAUCCCAUAUUAUUAAAAGUUAUGGUCUUUAAAAUAAAAGAAUUUGGCGGUAUUUUAAACUUUUCAGAGGAACCUGUUCUGUAAUUGAUAAUCCACGAUUUGAUUAACUUUUUUUAUAUUUAUAUAUCGUUGUGUAAAGCAUGUUCAAGUAUGAUGUUUAAGGUCUUUUUAAGAGGGUAUUUCAGAUCAAGGUGUAGUAUAAUAAAGAAGAAAUGGGUUACAUUGUUUUUAAAACGAUAAAAUUAAUUUUAAAUUAUUUUUAAUCUUGGAUUUGAAAGUAAAUUGAAAUAACUAUUUUAGUUGAUUUAAGUUCUAAAAUAUGUACAUAUCGCCCGUCGCUUUCAAUUAAGUUGGAAUAAGUCGUAACAAAGUAGAUGUACCGGAAGGUGUAUCUGGAUUAAU
rnacentral:ncRNA from 1 species